GGGGUUGUAGCUCAGUGGUAGAUCUCUUGCCUUGCAUGAAGAGAGGCACUGGGUUCAAAUCUCAGUACCACA
rnacentral:tRNA from 1 species